AUUGAACGCUGGCGGCAGGCCUAACACAUGCAAGUCGAACGGUAACAGGGAUCAGCUUGCUGCUUCGCUGACGAGUGGCGGACGGGUGAGUAAUGUCUGGGAAACUGCCUGAUGGAGGGGGAUAACUACUGGAAACGGUAGCUAAUACCGCAUAACGUCGCAAGACCAAAGAGGGGGACCUUCGGGCCUCUUGCCAUCUGAUGUGCCCAGAUGGGAUUAGCUAGUAGGUGGGGUAACGGCUCACCUAGGCGACGAUCCCUAGCUGGUCUGAGAGGAUGACCAGCCACACUGGAACUGAGACACGGUCCAGACUCCUACGGGAGGCAGCAGUGGGGAAUAUUGCACAAUGGGCGCAAGCCUGAUGCAGCCAUGCCGCGUGUAUGAAGAAGGCCUUCGGGUUGUAAAGUACUUUCAGCGGGGAGGAAGGGAGUAAAGUUAAUACCUUUGCUCAUUGACGUUACCCGCAGAAGAAGCACCGGCUAACUCCGUG
rnacentral:rRNA from 1 species